rnacentral:rRNA from 1 species
GACGAACGCUGGCGGCGUGCUUAACACAUGCAAGUCGAACGGAAAGGCCCCUUUCGGGUUGCUCGCGUGGCAAACGGGUGAGUAACACUUCCGUAACCUGCCCUUCACUUCGUGAUAACUUCAGCAAACUGGGCCUAAUACCGGGUACGAAUCCUUGCUGCCUGGUGGGGGUGGGCAAGCUUCUGCUUUUUUGGAUGGACUCGCGGCUUAUUAGCUUGUUGGUGGGGUAGUGGAUUACCGAGGGUUUGACGGGUCGCCGGCCUGCGGGGGCGAACGGCCAGACUGGGACUGAGAUAGGGCCCGGACUGCUACGGGAGGCAGGAGGGGGGAAGAUUGCACAAUGGGCGGAAGCAUGACGGAGGAAGGCAGGGUGCGGGAUGACAGAAUUCGGGUUGUAAGCCGCUUUCAGCAGGGGGGGAACAUGUAGUGACGGUACCUGCAGAAGAAGCACCGGCUAACUACGUG